UACGUAGGGGGCAAGCGUUGUCCGGAAUUAUUGGGCGUAAAGAGCGUGUAGGCGGCCAGAUAAGUCCGCUGUGAAAUCUCGAGGCUCAACUUCGAGCUGUCGGUGGAAACUAUCUGGCUAGAGUCCGGAAGAGGAGAAUGGAAUUCCUGGUGUAGCGGUGAAAUGCGCAGAUAUCGGGAAGAACACCCGUGGCGAAGGCGGGUUGCUGGGCCGACACUGACGCUGAGGCGCGAAAGCCAGG
rnacentral:rRNA from 1 species